GCCGUAAAGUAGGCUUUCAACUCAGGACAGCGCCACUUCUCACAAACACAGACAGGAUUGGAGAUGAAAAGAUUAACUGGCACGUAACCACGAGCAGCUUCGUGGGAAAUUAAGAAUCCAUGCCACCGACAUAACCAAUCACACUAUGACAGACGCUCAACCUCUGCUCUUGUUUGUUGUCUUUGUUUGCCUGGCCCCGUGUGGACUUUGCCUUUGCUGACUGACUGCUUGUUGCUGACCUCUGAUGCUCUCCAAGGAAUGCAAAAAUGCCUUUAACUUCCAAAAAAAUGGACACCAACAACUUGAACACGUCUUCUGUUAUUCAUUACGGAAGAAAUUUGAAAGAAAAUGAAGACAGCUUUCACAAGAUAACUCCAAAACGUUAUGAGUGGCAAUGUGUGUAAUCAUAUUGUUGAUUCAUGUAUGUAAAAAUGCCAGCAAUUAAAUAAAAAACUGAUGUAGA